rnacentral:rRNA from 1 species
CCUACGGGAGGCUGCAGUGGGGAAUCUUGCGCAAUGGCCGAAAGGCUGACGCAGCGACGCCGCGUGGGGGAUGAAGGCCUUCGGGUUGUAAACCCCUGUUGCCCGGGACGAACAGCGCCAUUCGUGGCGCCUGACGGUACCGGGUGAGGAAGCACCGGCUAACUCUGUGCCAGCAGCCGCGGUAAUACAGAGGGUGCGAGCGUUGUCCGGAAUCACUGGGCGUAAAGGGCGCGUAGGCGGCCUCUUAAGCGUGUCGUGAAAGCGCGGGGCUCAAC